rnacentral:rRNA from 1 species
AUUGAACGCUGGCGGCAUGCUUUACACAUGCAAGUCGGACGAGUGGCGAACGGGUGAGUAACGCAUCGGAACGUACCGAGUAAUGGGGGAUAACUGUCCGAAAGGACAGCUAAUACCGCCUAUUAUUCGAGCGGCCGAUGUCUGAUUCGCUGGUUUGCGGGGUAACGGCCCACCAAGGCGACGAUCAGUAGCGGGUCUGAGAGGAUGAUCCGACAAACGGUGACUGAGACACGGCCCAGACUCAUACGUGAGGCAGAAGUGGGGAAUUUUGGACAAUGGGCGCAAGCCUGAUCCAGCCAUGCCGCGUGUCGGAAGAAGGCCUUCGGGUUGUAAAGGACUUUUGGCAGGGAAGCGGUACCUGAAGAAUAAGCACCGGCUAACUACGUGCCAGCAGCCGCGGUAAUUC